AAACCCGGUUUACAUGCUCACCGAUUGCAGGAAUCAUGCGGACUGUGUAAACAGGAUUCGUGUUAUGACGAGUCGCCAGAAUGCCCGGACUGGGCAGCAUACGGUGAAUGCCAAACCAACCCGUCCUACAUGAUGAACCAUUGCAAGAAAUCAUGCGAAGUCUGCGGGCUGUUGUGUGACGAUAAGAAGACCAUGUGUGAGGAAUGGGCGUCGGGGGAGAAUGUACCGGCCAAUAUUCCUACAUGCUCUACAACUGCAGGAAAGCCUGCGACUACUGCGACUUCUACCCGGCCAUCGAGGUGAUAGAUGCUGCCAUCGCUGACUACAAUAGGCAUACAUGCAUCCGCUUCGUUCCCAGGACGACAGAGACGCACUUCGUUUCUUUCUGGAGAGG